rnacentral:rRNA from 1 species
UACAGAGGGUGCGAGCGUUGUCCGGAAUCACUGGGCGUAAAGGGCGCGUAGGCGGCCGAGCAAGUGUGUGGUGAAAGCCCGGGGCUCAACCCCGGGUCUGCCGUGCAAACUGUUCGGCUUGAGCACUGUAGAGGCAGAUGGAAUUCCGGGUGUAGCGGUGGAAUGCGUAGAGAUCCGGAAGAACACCGGUGGCGAAGGCGGUCUGCUGGGCAGUUGCUGACGCUGAGGCGAGACAGCGUGGGGAGCAAACAGG